UGAACUGAGAGGACUAUGAAAUUGGAAGGUCUGACCUACGGUGGGACUUCUUGCUUUUUCUUUGCUUUGCCUACCUUUGCUGCUCGCAUUGCCUAGCAACCUGCUGCGCUUGACUGUGGAAGCCUUUAAAUUGAAAAACAGAAAAUGCAGUUGGAGAAGGUAAUCUUCUUAUUUUAUUUAAUUUAGGAGGAUAUGCUUGCCCUCCACAGCAUGAUUUAAUUUUGUCUGAGAAAAGAACAUUUUCCGGUUUGAAAUUAAAAGACUAAAAUGGUUAAGCCUUGUACUUAUAGCUAAAAGUAAUAUUGCAAUCUUAAGGGAGAGGAAAUCUAUCGAUACAGUCAAUAAAAAGAACAGCAGCUGAACAAAUAUGUCUCGUGCAUUAUAGGAAGUAUUAGAUGAUUGUCCAAACCUUUGGUUGAACUUGUAUGGGUGGGGGUGUUACGUGAAGAGAGCUGUAUGCAUGUAUGUCUCUCUCUCUGGCCCUCUCCUACCCUUGUCCUGCAGGUGAGAGGUGGAGGAUUGGCUGGCCCCAACCCUCACAUUCACGGCCAUUUCAGCCAAUCAGAGACAGAGGACACUAUAUAAAGCCUCUCUCUCUUUUUGCUCUCCCUCUCUCUGACUUUGUCCAUUAAGGUUUGCGGUGGGAAAGUGGUACUGAGGUAAUACACUCAGAGACACACACUUGUUACUCCAAUAGGUUAUGGGUUGUUGCCACCAAUGUAUUUUUAUUACUUUUGGACACUUUUGUAGAUAAGAGAGUCAAGCCUUUUGUUUUCUUUUUCCUUUCCACACAAUGUUGAGCUAGGCCCUAUUUCAUUGUACUUAUUUUGUUUGGCACAACCCCAACAGUUCACCCCCCCCUCUACUUUACCUAAGUAUUGUAAAUGAAUCUAUUUUCUUUAACUGCUUUACAUUGUCCCUGAGUUCUUCCUUCAUUGGUUGUCAGCGUUAUUGUUUCCACUUAAAAAGGGAAACGUAACAAUUGGGGCUUGUCCGGGAUAAACCUGUGUUUUUCCUUCUGACAAUCAAUGGGAAAUUACUCAUGGUGUUUGUUUGGCAUGUGGUUGAAAAUGAGUUUCAAUUUACAAGAUUUAGUUGACAAUCCCUCAUUUGAAAAAAUUGAUGUGUGUCGCAAGGAUGAUUUAUUGUGUAUUGCAGCACACUGACAUACUGUUCACAAGUACGGACUUAAGAAAGAAAUCAAGAUGCAGGUCCUAGAAAAACUAGUUGAUUUAAAUGUCCUUAGUUCUGCCCAGCCUGUGGGUAAAGUUUCAGCUAAUGAUGUUUCUUCUACUACAGCAGGGGUUUUGUCUCAGACCAUCGAGGAGCCAGCUGCACUAUUCACACCUCCUGCAGACCAUGCUACGUUACCUCGUUUUGACUCUUUCUCUCCUCAACAAUCUCAGGGGUUAGUUCAAGUUCCAAGCUCAAGGUUCCCCUCACUCUCCUUCAGCUGGAGGCCAAAGAAAAAGUCGACCUGACCUCUGGUCAUUCAGCCACUGAAAAGGCCAAAGGACGCACACACAAAAGAACCUUGUCAUUUCAGCACGCUCCAAAGGUGACCCGCCACCACCCCUGAC